rnacentral:tRNA from 1 species
CGGGCUAGAGCUUGAAAUAAGUUUUUUAUUUACACUAAAAGGAUAAUUGAUUGAACAAUUUGGCUCGA